rnacentral:tRNA from 1 species
UCCCUUGUGGCUCAAUUGGUAGAGCAUGGUGCUUGCAACACCAGGGUUGUGGGUUUGACUCCCAUGGGGGAC